rnacentral:rRNA from 1 species
UAGGGAAUCUUCCACAAUGGGCGCAAGCCUGAUGGAGCAACACCGCGUGAGUGAAGAAGGGUUUCGGCUCGUAAAGCUCUGUUGUUAGAGAAGAACGUGCGUGAGGGCAACUGUUCACGCAGUGACGGUAUCUAACCAGAAAGUCACGGCUAACUACGUGCCAG